ensembl:lncRNA novel transcript
ACAAGUGGCUGUUAUCUAUGUGGGUGUAAGGAGGUAUCUUGAUAAAUUGGAGCCCAGCAAGGUUACAAAGUUUGAGAAUGCUUUCUUGUCUCGUGUUGUCAGCCAGCACCAGGCCCUGUUGGGCACUAUCAGGGCUGAUGGAAAGAUCUCAGAAGAACCAGAUGCAAAGCUGAAAGAGAUUGUUAACAAACUUCUUGGCUGGAUUUGAAGCUUAAACUCCUGUGGAUUCACAUCAAAUACCAGUUCAGUUUUGUCAUUGUUCUAGCAAAUUAGUUCCAUUUGUAAAAGGGUUACUCUCAUAUUCGUUAUGUACAGAAGUCACAUGAAAAGUAAAGGUUCCAUAAUGGCAAAAAAAAAAAAACUAGAAAAUUAAGAUCAAUGAAACCAAGCCCAACAUUAGUAGAGGAAGAAUAUAAUACAUAUCAAAGCAGAAAUGAACAAAA